UACGGAAGGGGCAAGCGUUGUUCGGAAUUAUUGGGCGUAAAGAGCUCGUAGGCGGUUUGUCGCGUCUGCUGUGAAAACUCGGGGCUCAACUCCGAGCUUGCAGUGGGUACGGGCAGACUAGAGUGCGGUAGGGGAGACUGGAAUUCCUGGUGUAGCGGUGGAAUGCGCAGAUAUCAGGAGGAACACCGGUGGCGAAGGCGGGUCUCUGGGCCGUAACUGACGCUGAGGAGCGAAAGCAUGGGGAGCGAACAGG
rnacentral:rRNA from 1 species